UAAACCAUCCACUUGGCCUCCAAAUUCCAAAAUAUUCUAAUUAGUAAAGUUGCUUUGGUUUAAAAAGAUAAGACAAAAUCAAAACCUAAAAGCAAGAAUCGAAUAGAGAAAGAAAAGCAAUGGUUUUUAACAGUCCAGUGGUGGGGAAGGCGGAUUCGAGUCGGACAGCUUUGCUAAAGGGUGGAGGGAUCCCAUCAAUCCAGUACGCCCCUUGGUAGUUUCUGGAAUAAUGUUAAUAUAUGCCCACAUGUAGUGCUGUGUCUGUAAUAAUGAUCCUUUUUUUUUUCCUUACUGAGGAAUAUGUCAUUUUGAUCCUUUUUUCUUGUUAUGGGGGAAAGAUUUUCUAGAUUGGUUAUGAUAUCUAAAUUGGUUAAAGAUUUAAUUUUUGGCUGUUUUUUUGUCAAUUAAAUGAUUAGCUAAUGGUUAUUGUAGA